rnacentral:lncRNA from 1 species
UUAAUUCUCUUUGUCUCCUCCAUUCCUCGUCUUAUAUGUUCUCAUCAUCAUCACAACAACCACCCUCCUUUGUCCAUUUUACUCAUGGUAAUUACUUUUCAACUUCACUAUACUUUAAUUAAUAAUCUAUUUUUCAUUCAAUUAUUAAAUUAGGGGUUAUGUUUUCAUAACUGCAAGUAUUUUUGUAUUUUUUUUUUUGUUAUUGAUGCAAAAUGUAUUUU